CCACUUACCUGGCAGGAAAGAGACCGUGGUCACGAAGGGGGUUCUCCCAGAGUGAAGCUUCUUCAUCGCACUCUAGAGUUGUUGAUCUCUGUGAUUUCUUCAAUGUGGGAAACGGUGUUUGUGCUAGAAGAGGGCUGCGCUCUCUA
ensembl:snRNA U1 U1 spliceosomal RNA